rnacentral:rRNA from 1 species
UACGGGGGGGGCAAGCGUUGUUCGGAAUUACUGGGCGUAAAGGGCGUGUAGGCGGCCAACUAAGUCCGACGUGAAAUCCCCGGGCUUAACCUGGGAACUGCGUCGGAUACUGGAUGGCUUGAAUCCGGGAGAGGGAUGCAGAAUUCCAGGUGUAGCGGUGAAAUGCGUAGAUAUCUGGAGGAAUACCGGUGGCGAAGGCGGCAUCCUGGACCGGCAUUGACGCUGAAGCGCGAAAGCUAGGGGAGCAAACGGG